UUAUAUAAAUGGAAGGUGUGACCCAGAA
rnacentral:piRNA from 1 species